GCGCCCGUAGCUCAGUCGGAUAGAGCAACUGCCUUCUAAGCAGUCGGUCGGGGGUUCGAUUCCCUCCGGGCGCGCCA
rnacentral:tRNA from 1 species